rnacentral:rRNA from 1 species
CAAUCAAAUGACUCUCGGCAAUGGAUAUCUCGGCUCUUGCAUCGAUGAAGAACGUAGUGAAAUGCGAUACUUGGUGUGAAUUGCAGAAUCUCGUGAACCAUUGAGUCUUUGAACGCAAGUUGUGCCCGAGGCCUUGUGGCCGAGGGCACGCCUGCUUGGGUGUCAUGG